UCCAUACUGGUGUAUCGGUAACAUUUCCGCCUCUCAUGUGCAAACAUAUUGGUCGCGGUAGCGCAGUGAGUACUCUGAUAAUAAUUACUUUGGGUAUCAAAGCCUAACAAUCAUUAGGGGUUCGACUCCCUGGUAUGGAA